rnacentral:lncRNA from 1 species
AUCUUCCCAUCAGACAGUGAGCCCCCCUACCCAGGGAGACCUCCAAGACUGCAGAUUCUCUUCUCUUCCUUCACAGCCAGUACCAGCUCUAGGUGGACCAGGUGCUCCAAAUGCACUGCCGGUGGUCCUCCUGCUUUGUCAAUGUCCCUUCCGAGAUCUGCCCCUUUGUGACUUUCACUGCAUCCUUCUGCAUUUCGACUCGAAAGCUCUUCACUGUGGAAUAAAGACUCUGUCGGCUGGUGCAAGGUGCCAGCGGACAGCAUAUGCCUGUGUGAAUUGAAUCAUUUCUCCAGCACUCUGGUUUCCAGCUUUGUCUCUCAUUUGCAUGGUGUGUCCCAUGUUCGUUUCAUUUCCCUUCGGAUUACAUAUGCAGGUGAGAAGGUGUCAUUUCACCGCUGUAUCUGUACUUUCCAAAUGCUGUGCGGAAACCCGCUAUGAUUCUGCAGUUAUUCUGAAGACAGUGGUGUGUUUCCAGGGCAGAUACAUUUCCUGACGUUGAUAGCUAUGAGUAGUUCAUUCUAGGUUUUAAGUCCAACCUGGUAUAAGCAAACUCUAUUCAGGAGGUUUUUUAUUUUCUUGUGUGAAGCAUAACUCUACUCAUUAUGAAUUAUUGUUUUAAGAAUACUAAUGGCAUAGGGAUUGGUCACCAGAAACCAGAAGAGCAUGAUACAAAGACGUUUCACUUAGGAAAGUUAACUUUUUUCCUUUUUCAGUGUAUGUUUAAAGAUUUAAAAUAACUGCAUAAAAAUAUAAGCACAUCCUAACUUAACGGCGCAAACUUUAAAAAGAAAAGCUCUGUCACAGAUUGUUGCUUGGAAAGGCAGAGUGCAAAGGGCCUUUUUUUCAUUGCAAUAUUUUCAAGUGAAAACGUUCUAACUCACUAGCAGAGAGAGUGACUGCUGGAUUUUAAAGGCAUAUAUAUGGUCACGCUUGGUGCUAGGGAUGGAUAAAUGCUGCAGCUAGCUAUCCAUCAGCGAGCUUAGCCAGUGGGCCACACUUCCCAUCCAUCCUUCUCCCUUCCCCGCAGCCCUUUAAGAGAAUCCCAGAAUCCUUUCAUUCAUUCGCAUCUGCUUUAUUUCAUACAGUGUGGGGAUUCUCCUUUGGGAGACCUUACAAAUCCCCGAACGUUUUACACAUCCGCAAAUAGAGUAAGGCUUCUCCAAUACAUUCCCUUCAAUCCUACCAGGAACAAAAUCCCACUGGUCUCCAUAGCAGACAUCUAUCACACGCACACACACACACACACACACACACACACACACACACACACACACACACACACACACAACACACACACACACAGCAAGCCAAAGGCGAUGCUAUUUACUCAACUUCCUUCUGCGCGGCCAGUCAGGGAACAGGCUGCAGCAUUCAGGAUAAAGCCGGCCCUGGCCGGCCCUGGCAGCCCGAAAGCCACCCCAUUGUGAUUCAAGAUUCGGGGUGUAAACAAAUGCAGCGUUAACAAUCAGCAGUUUGCAUUUAAUGCUUUAUAGCCGUGACUGCGCUGGGAAGAACACAGUAGUGUCUUCUUCGCUGGAACUGCAGUCGGGGCUUUAUUUAGUUUUUGGGCAAGCGGCACCGGCAGCUGCAGGCGCUCAAUGGGCGCUUUCUAGUCGGCGUGGGCCGCGGGCGCGUUGCCGGGAGCCGAGGGUCCGCCGGGCGGGCGGCGGGGGCAGGAGGAAGCGGCCGCCGAGCCUGCAUCCCGUCUCCGUGACAGGUGCUGAGGAACAAGAAGAGAAAGGAGCCCUCCUACCCGUCCCCUCCGCCCCCCCCCCCCCCAGCCUGGGGCUGGGAUCUGACACUGUCUAACUGUCCUGGGUUAUUGUUAUUAUUGUAUUAUUAUUUAUUUAUUAAUUAUUGCAUUCUUGUUUCAAGAACAGAGAGCAUUGGCGAGCACAGAUGUACCCUGUGGCGUGGCCUUUCUCUGCUUGGCCAGUGAUGCCCUGACUUUGCUUAAUGACCAAGACUUGCUUAGAUACAAACCAGAGGCUGCUGUUGGCAGAGUGCCUUCUAGAUGCUUCGUGUAGUUAAAUUAGGAAACAUGCCGAGGAAAGAGCUGCGAGCCAUGUUUCCUGUGGACCAAAGGGGAUUAUCUUCUCCUGAUUGGGAAAGAUAACUGUGUUUAUUAUCAAACAUCGUUUACCGAGAACUUUGAGGUGCCAGGCACUGAAUUUGUACUCGUUCCCUCGGUAGGUACAGCCCUUCAAAGUUUGAUUGUGGCCUUUAUGUUCUUUCUCUUUUAAAAGAGAAAAUAACGUUUCAGAGACGUUAAUCGUCCAACUUUUUACACUGCUUAUAAAUGUUACAGAAAGAAACCCAAUCUUAGUAGGAGUAUAAAAGUAACAGUCACUUUGUACGGGAAAGCUCUUAGUUAAUGCCAUACAGAGCCCAUAUUGAUGCUACUUAGAUGGCUGUGGCCCUAGCAGGUGACCUACCAUGGGAACGCAGACUAAAUUUAUGAUUCAGAUACAAGGCACUGAUCACUCUUUUCAUUACAGAGGAUAGUACAAUUCUGGAAAAUUAUGCGUGCGAAAAAACCUCCUUUUCCAGUAAAUAUUUCUCGGCCUGGGCUUGUGAGCUUGGAUGAAAUGCUCCACUGCUAAUAGGCCAUAUGAUCUUACAAAGUUUUGGAAAAGAUUUUUUUCAACAACAAUUUGAUAUUU